UACGUAGGGUGCGAGCGUUGUCCGGAAUUAUUGGGCGUAAAGAGCUUGUAGGCGGUUUGUCGCGUCUGCUGUGAAAAUCCGGGGCUCAACCCCGGACUUGCAGUGGGUACGGGGCAGACUAGAGUGUGGUAGGGGAGACUGGAAUUCCUGGUGUAGCGGUGAAAUGCGCAGAUAUCAGGAGGAACACCGAUGGCGAAGGCAGGUCUCUGGGCCACUACUGACGCUGAGAAGCGAAAGCAUGGGGAGGCGAACAGGAUUAGAUA
rnacentral:rRNA from 1 species